GUGCCAGCAGCCGCGGUAAUACCAGCUCUCCGAGUGGUGGGGAUGAUUAUUGGGCCUAAAGCAUCCGUAGCCGGCUGGACAAGUCCCCUGUUAAAUCCAACGAUCCAAUCGUUGGUCUGCGGGGGAUACUGUCCGGCUUGGGGGCGGGAGAGGCCGCCGGUAUUUCCGGGGUAGGGGUGAAAUCCUAUAAUCCCGGGAGGACCACCAGUGGCGAAGGCUGUCGGCUAGAACGCGCCCGACGGUGAGGGAUGAAAGCUGGGGGAGCGAACCGGAUUAGAUACCCGGGUAGUCCCAGCUGUAAACGAUGCAGGCUAGGUGUUAGGGCGGCUACGUGCCGCUCUAGUGCCGCAGGGAAGCCGUUAAGCCUGCCGCCUGGGGAGUACGGUCGCAAGGCUGAAACUUAAAUGAAUUGGCGGGG
rnacentral:rRNA from 1 species